CGUCCAGACUCCUACGGGAGGCAGCAGUGGGGGAUAUUGCACAAUGGAGGAAACUCUGAUGCAGCGACGCCGCGUGAGGGAAGACGGUCUUCGGAUUGUAAACCUCUGUCUUUGGGGAAGAAAAUGACGGUACCCAAAGAGGAAGCUCCGGCUAACUACGUGCCAGCAGCCGCGGUAAUACGUAGGGAGCGAGCGUUGUCCGGAAUUACUGGGUGUAAAGGGAGCGUAGGCGGGAUGGCAAGUUGGGUGUUAAAUCUUCCGGCUCAACUGGGAGUCGCACUCAAAACUGCUAUUCUUGAGUGAAGGAGAGGCAGGCGGAAUUCCUAGUGUAGCGGUGAAAUGCGUAGAUAUUAGGAGGAACACCAGUGGCGAAGGCGGCCUGCUGGGCUUUUACUGACGCUGAGGCUCGAAAGUGUGGGGAGCAAACAGGAUUAGAUACCCCGGUAU
rnacentral:rRNA from 1 species